AGGGGCUUAGUUAAGCGGUAUAAUGUGGGUCUCCAAAACCCGAGUCAGAGGUCCGACUCCUCUAGCCCCUGCCA
rnacentral:tRNA from 1 species